rnacentral:rRNA from 1 species
GCUCGUGUCGUGAGAUGUUGGGUUAAGUCCCGUAACGAGCGCAACCCUUGUCCUUAGUUACCAGCACGUUAUGGUGGGCACUCUAAGGAGACUGCCGGUGACAAACCGGAGGAAGGUGGGGAUGACGUCAAGUCAUCAUGGCCCUUACGGCCUGGGCUACACACGUGCUACAAUGGUCGGUACAGAGGGUUGCCAAGCCGCGAGGUGGAGCUAAUCUCACAAAACCGAUCGUAGUCCGGAUCGCAGUCUGCAACUCGACUGCGUGAAGUCGGAAUCGCUAGUAAUCGCGAAUCAGAAUGUCGCGGUGAAUACGUUCCCGGGCCUUGUACACACCGCCCGUCACACCAUGGGAGUGGGUUGCACCAGAAGUAGCUAGUCUAACCUUCGGGAGGACGGUUACCACGGUGUGAUUCAUGACUGGGGUGAAGUCGUAACAAGGUAGCCGUAGGGGAA